rfam:Gossypium arboreum cultivar AKA8401 contig_69289_3, whole genome shotgun sequence.
AUUCCGUGAUGAAGGAACUUUCUUAAUAAUUCUUUAUACCUUUCCCAUGCCUCAUACAAGGACUUAUCAUCAAUUUGUUGGAAAGUAGUGCUCUCGUUCCUCAACUU